UAGUCAUUCCUCCCAUAUAAAAAUUCACAAGAAGUUUUAUAAACCUUGAAAACACAACAACAACAACCCAAUUUUGCUUUGUGAAUUGUUAUCAACCAAACAGGAAUUAUGAGCAACACACAAACUCAACAACAACAACAAAACAUGGACAACGUUCCUCCUGCUGGGUACCCGACUAUAAGUCCUCCUGAAGGAAAGAUGAAGAAGAAGGGUUGGUUCCGCACCAAAAAGAGGGGUGAGAAAGGUUUUAUUGAAGGAUGUUUGGCCGGGUUAUGUUGCUGUUGGAUCUGUGAAGAGUGCUGCUGCUAAAAGAAUCAUGGAUUGAUAAUUGAUGAUGAUUAUUAUAUCUAUCAUGUUUGUGAAAUUAUUGGAUUCUUGAAUUAUGUGUAAUUGAUUUAUGAUUUGAUGAACAAUACCAUAAUGUGUAGUAUAUUUUUUAAAAAUAUACAUAUUUGUCAUGUGAAUAAUAAAAUUAUCAGUGUUAGUUUUUGUUAAUUA